GGACUACCCGGGUAUCUAAUCCUGUUUGCUCCCCACGCUUUCGCGUCUCAGCGUCACCACAAGCCCAGCAAGUCGCCUUCGCCACUGGUGUUCCUGCGAAUAUCUACGAAUUUCACCUCUACACUCGCAAUUCCACUUGCCUCUGCUUGAGUCCAGGCUGGAAGUUUUGGAGGCAGUUCCGAGGUUGAGCCUCGGGAUUUCACCCCCAACUUUCCAGCCCGCCUACACGCGCUUUACGCCCAGUAAAUCCGAACAACGCUAGCCCCCUUCGUAUUACCGCGGCGGCUGGCAC
rnacentral:rRNA from 1 species